GGUAAAAGUUUUCCUUUUUGCAAUGAUCGUAGGUUUUAUCGGCCUUAUUGCUGCACAACCGCCUGCAGAUGAAAUUCCGAUCUAUGAAAAGCUAUGCCUCAGACAUGGACUAACGCAGGAUUGCUGGACAACUGUUCCUACCCAUUACCCGAACCCAGACGCUACCACCGUUCUUGAAUGAUGCUAGAGUUGAAAUACAUUAACCAACAACAAACACCACGAAUUCUAUAGAAAAUAAAGCUUUUGUUUUCC